GACAGAGGGUGCAAACGUUGUUCGGAUUUACUGGGCGUAAAGGGCGGGUAGGCGGCCACCGCAAGUCAGUUGUGAAAUCUCUGGGCUUAACCCAGAAAGGUCAACUGAUACUGCGGGGCUAGAGUGCAGAAGGGGCAACUGGAAUUCUCGGUGUAGCGGUGAAAUGCGUAGAUAUCGAGAGGAACACCUGCGGCGAAGGCGGGUGCUGGGCUGACACUGACGCUGAACUGCGAAAGCUAGGGGAGCGAACGGG
rnacentral:rRNA from 1 species